ACCAGUUUCCUCUCCCUGCGGCAGAAGAAAUGUCAGGGCUUCCUGGACCUCUGGCAGACCUCUGAGGUGACCUGGACUUUCCCAUGGGUUCCUACAGUCCCCCACCAUCUCCCAGAUCAAUAUCCUGGGGGGACUGCCCACAACACGGACCGGCCAAGCUGCCCGCCUGGGGGCAGGUGGAUGUACUUGACCCGCCCACCAAGGUCCAGAACAGGCCCUUCCACAAUCCAGGCACUGAAUGUACUGAGCCUCCUGGGGAGCCGGGACUUGCUGUUCCUCCCAGAGUGAUGUGUCAGCAGGCGGUGUCUUGUAAUCUGCAAGGUCCAGGAUUCUCCCUCUGGCCCUAAAAUUGGUGAGUCUUCUAGGUCUUUUGCUGGGCAACAGAUAGUUUAAGUGAACAGGGUUUCCUGUGUGUGUACAGGCUGAGGUCAGACAGCAUCGGUACAAAAGAUACAGGCUCAUCUGGCUUCCUGUUUUACCAGCCGAUGUGUCUGGCUUUUAUCCUCUUAGUAUUAAUAUGGCUGCCUCACCUUUGCUACUACAUCCACAUUCUAUUCGGAAAGAAAUAAAAGGAGUAAUGUGACAGUUGUUUUCUAGGAAAGUUUUACUUUUAGAUUCAGGAAGGAAUUUCUUCUGCCUUUCUUCCAUUGCCCAGAGCUGGGCCACCCUAGCUGCAAGAGAUGCUGAGAGGUUAAGUGUUAAGCUUGUCUGGGUCCUAGAGUAGAGGCAGGCAGAGACCGGAGGCAUGGAACUUGUGUGCGAGAGGUCACACAGGUUGGGUCAGGCAAGCCUCAGCAAUGAUGUCAUGACUGUGCCUUCCUUGCCUAGCUUCAGAUCUCCUGUGUACCCCUGGCUGUCUGGACCUGCUUCUCUUCCUCUGCUCACAGUGUGCAGUUGAAUGGGACUACAAACUCUCCUGUGUCACCAGGGUUUCUAGUAGUCUGUCUUGUCUCCACGGAUAACUCAGCAGUCCCAGAGAAAGCCCCCUGCCUGCUGUCUGCAAAGAGAAGCCAUUGUUUUCCCAGUGUGGGGUAACCCUCAAGGACUCUGGGAGCUCUAAGAACAGUGGGUAAGUUCUAACCAUCUGUAUUUCCAUGGGUGGGAAGCUGAAUCUGACUCUGUUCUUUGGGCACCCAAAGCUCAGAAGUUCAAAGUCAUCCUCAGCUACAAUUGAGUUCCAGACCAGCCUUGACCACAUAAGACCCUGUCAUAAAAAAUAAGAGGGGCUGGAAAGGUGGUGCAGUGGUUAAGAACACUGGCUGCUCUUCCAGAGGAUCCGGUUUCAUUCCCAACACCAACAUGGCAGCUCACAACCACCUGGAACCUCAGCUCUAGGGAGUCUGACACCUUUUGGUCGUUGUGGCAUCAGGCACACAGAACUGUGUGUUAGCGUACAUGCAGACAAAACACCUGCACAUAUUAUAAAAUCAAAUAAUAAGAGGGGAAGGAGGAAGAGGAGGAAGAAGGGGAGGAAAGGCAGGAGAGGAAGGAGGAGGAAGAGGAGGAGAGAGAAGAGGAUUGGAGGAAGAAGGCAAGGUAGAAACUCAUUGCAGUGGUUGGAGUUUUUAUUCUCUCAGCCCGGCAGAGGGAUGAGGGAGCAUAUGUCCUCACAAAAUGCCCUGCUUCGUGAUCUUGAGAAUGUGCCUUUCCUCCCUCCCUGCAUUCCAGGGUUCUGUUUCUAG
rnacentral:lncRNA from 1 species